rnacentral:rRNA from 1 species
GACGAACGCUGGCGGCGUGCUUAACACAUGCAAGUCGAACGGAAAGGCCCUGCUUGCAGGGUACUCGAGUGGCGAACGGGUGAGUAACACGUGGGUGAUCUGCCCUGCACUUCGGGAUAAGCCUGGGAAACUGGGUCUAAUACCGGAUAGGAGCCAUUUUUAGUGUGAUGGUUGGAAAGUUUUUUCGGUGUAGGAUGAGCUCGCGGCCUAUCAGCUUGUUGGUGAGGUAAUGGCCUACCAAGGCGGCGACGGGUAGCCGGCCUGAGAGGGUGGACGGCCACAUUGGGACUGAGAUACGGCCCAGACUCCUACGGGAGGCAGCAGUGGGGAAUAUUGCACAAUGGGCGCAAGCCUGAUGCAGCGACGCCGCGUGGGGGAUGACGGCCUUCGGGUUGUAAACUCCUUUCGCCAGGGACGAAGCUUUUUGUGACGGUACCUAGAUAAGAAGCACCGGCUAACUACGUG